CGUACACUCCUACGGGAGGCAGCAGUGGGGAAUAUUGCACAAUGGGCGCAAGCCUGAUGCAGCCAUGCCGCGUGUAUGAAGAAGGCCUUCGGGUUGUAAAGUACUUUCAGCGGGGAGGAAGGCGAUAAGGUUAAUAACCUUGUCGAUUGACGUUACCCGCAGAAGAAGCACCGGCUAACUCCGUGCCAGCAGCCGCGGUAAUACGGAGGGUGCAAGCGUUAAUCGGAAUUACUGGGCGUAAAGCGCACGCAGGCGGUCUGUCAAGUCGGAUGUGAAAUCCCCGGGCUCAACCUGGGAACUGCAUUCGAAACUGGCAGGCUAGAGUCUUGUAGAGGGGGGUAGAAUUCCAGGUGUAGCGGUGAAAUGCGUAGAGAUCUGGAGGAAUACCGGUGGCGAAGGCGGCCCCCUGGACAAAGACUGACGCUCAGGUGCGAAAGCGUGGGGAGCAAACAGGAUUAGAAACCCGAGUAGUCCC
rnacentral:rRNA from 1 species